UACGUAGGGGGCAAGCGUUGUCCGGAAUCAUUGGGCGUAAAGCGCGUGUAGGCGGCCAGGUAAGUCCGUUCUGAAAGCCCGGGGCUCAACCCCGGGAGGCGGAUGGAUACUGCUUGGCUCGAGUCCGGAAGAGGUGAGUGGAAUUCCUAGUGUAGAGGUGAAAUUCGUAGAUAUUAGGAAGAACACCAGUGGCGAAGGCGGCUCACUGGUCCGGUACUGACGCUGAGGUGCGAAAGCGUGGGGAGCAAACAGG
rnacentral:rRNA from 1 species